CUAACUGACUGAGCCACCCAGGAGCCCCUCAAUGUAUGCAUUUAGAGUUCACAGAGCUUCUUCAGUUUUAAUCUCAUUUGAGAAUUUUUAAAAAAUGUAAAGGGAAAUAUUAGCUUCAUUUUAUAGAUGAUGAAAACCAAAGCCCAGAGAUUUGGACUGUUUAAAGUUGCAGCAGAUUAAAGCCCAGUGAUCCAAGGAACUCAAUAUGGAUUCACUGGCUAAAGAUUUUUCCUUUAAAAACAUGUAAUGAGAAGACAGAGCUGGAUCUUCUUAGCACCCAUCCAUUUUGGAGAUUGGUGGUAGACUAUGGAUGGCAUAAAAAGAUAGUACCCAGAAUGCAAAUGUCUUAUUGCUUGUGACCACAAGAUAUCAACAGCAGGACCAUUUCCUUCUCUUGACACUAGAAAUAGCUUCAUCAAAUGAGGAAUUACUCAGCCUCCUGCGGGUGCCCUUUUCUGAAGCUAACAUCCUACUCAUCAUUUGAACCCUAGUAGAAGCUACAAUCCUAUUCAAUCUAAUUUCAAAAUACUGAUACCAGCUCUAUCACUUUAUUUUCUCCCUUUAAAGUCUGUGUUGUCUCUUUCCUGUAUUUUAUUAAUUGUGACACCAAUCAAGGCAUAUAGGAGUGGGGG
rnacentral:lncRNA from 1 species